rnacentral:rRNA from 1 species
GCAAGUCGAGCGAGAAGAUUAUGAUGGAUCCUUCGGGUGAAAGAUUAAUUGGAAAGCGGCGGACGGGUGAGUAACGCGUGGCCAACCUCCCCUGUAUAAAGGGAAAGCCACUGGAAACGGUGAUUAAUACCUUAUAAGACUAAAGAAACACAUGUUUCAGUAGCCAAAGCUCCGGCGAUACAGGAUGGGCCCGCGUUUGAUUAGCUAGUUGGUGAGGUAAUGGCUCACCAAGGCGACGAUCAAUAGCCGACCUGAGAGGGUGAUC